GCCGCGGCGGCACAGACGUGGCCGUGGCGCUGCUGCUGCGUUCAAGUGACGCAGUGUCCCGUGCGGAGCAGAGAGGGGGCGAAGUUUCACUCUGCACUGCAGCCCGAGCUGCUGCCGGACUCCAACACAACAAUGGCGACUCCCAGUCCCGACAGCAACUCCAGCGGCCGCGUGGUGGGAUCCACGUCGCACCAGCUCCACCAGCACACGCAGAGCAGCAGCAUGCAAGAUUUGGCCCACAUCCCACGUCCGGCCCACAUACCUCAUGGAAUGAUGGCACUUGGGUGGUCUGCUCCUGUUUGCCAGAUCUCAGCCACAAAACCCAACACCUGCUGGAGAUGUCAGAAUGAAACAGGUAUUCACUCUCUACUCUACUAGGUCUUAGUCUUAGUCUGCUGCUGGAGGUCAUUUGUUUACAACUGUGUUUGACACAUGUUGGCACAGCCCCCCCCCCUCCUCCAGAUGUUCCCUAAACACCCUCUUCUGUUGAUCUGUAUUUCCUCCUUGUUUCUUUUCCUUUUCAAACAACCCCUGCACUUUUUUUUAAACCCUCUUACUCCAUGCAUGUCUUCCAUGUAGUCUCCAUGUUAGAAUGAGCGGAUGUAGACACAAGCUGACAGAUGCCAUGUGAUGAGGCGCUGCAUCCGAGCGGCCACGUUUCCAGGAGCGUCGUCCUCGGCUGCACAGACAUCAGAAUGUGGCUGUUUCAGUGUGCCGCUCAUACACAGACUGUCACUAGUGUGCUUAUCCACACACUUCUCUCCUGAUGGUGUGCCACUCUUGUUAUGCUGCCAACUGUACACUCAUAGUGAUUUUCCAUCUCUGGUACACAAUAUGUAAAAAAAAUGGGAGUUUAAUCUUGUUCCACUGGCUCAUAACAUUCCCAACUGGCCAAUGACAGUUCUUACUAAAGCCUGACUGAUGUUGAUUUUUCGGGGGCCGAUGCUGAUAUUAGGGAGUGAAAAGGCAACUUGAGCGAUUCGCCGCUCCGUUGCGUUCACAACAACACAGAAAUCUCCAGGGCAUUCAGGUGAGGGGCGGCGCAGCAGGUAGAGGCAGGACAUAUAAGUUCUGCUGUGUUUUUGUUUACAGCACAUUGACACCGGUAACGGUCCUUAUCACCAGAAGUUCUCUUGAUAUCUCCGUCAGUGUCUUCUACAUGUGUGGCACCGCUUUUUCAUCCUCAGAUUAUUGUAUUGUUUUUGCAUCUUGCUCGCGAUAGAAAUAUCAUCAACACGCCCACACGCUCGCGGUGAAUCCUCGCAGCGGACGUGCUGCUGUGUUUUUACCAGGGGAUUGGCUGGAGAAACUCUGCAGGAAGUCUGGAGGCUCUCAGUCCGACAUUUGCUUUCACACAUACAGCCCCUCUGUCCGGAGGAUCUCUGGAGAUCGGUGCAUGUCUGAAAGCAGCUUAUGAUUUUUUCCCCAUAGUCACAGAGGUAAAUGUUGGACCCAUUUUAGUUUACAAGCCACAUAUCUCACAGAUAUCCUGAAACUAAAAUGGCCAUUUUGUGGUUUGUCUCAGAAAAACACAGACAACUUUUCUCUCGGUUUGUUCUGGUCUAGUUUCACUACAGGGCGGCCACUUUCCAAGGAAACGACUUGUAUACGAAAGCACGAGUUAGAAGUUAAAACUGAAACAAAAUUUGAAGUAUCAGUUGUAACAGGGAUAUAAAUAAUUGAACAGGUGCCUGUUAAUCAUCAAAACAUCUGCAUUGUAAAGUACGCCGCUAGGUGCUUGCAAAAGAUGUACAUGCAGUGUGCAAGUGACAUUAGAAGCUACUGUUUAAAGCCGAUUGUCAAAUUAUAUUAAUCAGCAAAGGAAACAUGGGUACCAAAUAUUCACCAACUUUCCAAGUGUUUCUGAUUUGAGUUUGCAUUCACGUAGGUUUUUAACAGACGUUGGUGGCCCUGAUCACGGAAAUCCUCUGUGGACCAGAUCGUCUCACUUCGGUUCGGCCUUCGUGGUCUACGCUGCCAAUGGAGGAAGCGGGUAGACCGCAUCCUCCCAAGGAUGCAGCCCCUGAACUGGGAUACAGCUGUUGUCUGCCAGUGGAACGUGGCUCUUUAAAGAGUAGAGCGGCAACAUAACCUCUCAGGAAAAUGGCUUAAAUCACUAAAACAAGACUGGCACACCACAAGGGAUUUCUUCUUGAUCACAGUAUCUCAUUCUUGAUCACACUCGUUUUUCUUUCCUUUGCUGUACUGAAGUGACAACUGCAGGGGGAGGGAGGGAUGGGGGGUAACAGUA